GAAUGCUGACAUAAGUAACGAUAAAGCGGGUGAAAAGCCCGCUCGCCGGAAGACCAAGGGUUCCUGUCCAACGUUAAUCGGGGCAGGGUGAGUCGACCCCUAAGGCGAGGCCGAAAGGCGUAGUCGAUGGGAAACGGGUUAAUAUUCCCGUACUUGGUGUUACUGCGAAGGGGGGACGGAGAAGGCUAUGUUGGCCGGGCGACGGUUGUCCCGGUUUAAGCGUGUAGGUGUGUGUUCCAGGUAAAUCCGGUUCACUUUAACACUGAGGCGUGACGACGAGGCACUACGGUGCUGAAGCAACAAAUGCCCUGCUUCCAGGAAAAGCCUCUAAGCAUCAGGUAACAUCAAAUCGUACCCCAAACCGACACAGGUGGUCAGGUAGAGAAUACCAAGGCGCUUGAGAGAACUCGGGUGAAGGAACUAGGCAAAAUGGUGCCGUAACUUCGGGAGAAGGCACGCUGACACGUAGGUGAAGUGAUUUACUCAUGGAGCUGAAGUCAGUCGAAGAUACCAGCUGGCUGCAACUGUUUAUUAAAAACACAGCACUGUGCAAACACGAAAGUGGACGUAUACGGUGUGACGCCUGCCCGGUGCCGGAAGGUUAAUUGAUGGGGUCAGCGCAAGCGAAGCUCCUGAUCGAAGCCCCGGUAAACGGCGGCCGUAACUAUAACGGUCCUAAGGUAGCGAAAUUCCUUGUCGGGUAAGUUCCGACCUGCACGAAUGGCGUAAUGAUGGCCAGGCUGUCUCCACCCGAGACUCAGUGAAAUUGAACUCGCUGUGAAGAUGCAGUGUACCCGCGGCAAGACGGAAAGACCCCGUGAACCUUUACUAUAGCUUGACACUGAACAUUGAGCCUUGAUGUGUAGGAUAGGUGGGAGGCUUUGAAGUGUGGACGCCAGUCUGCAUGGAGCCGACCUUGAAAUACCACCCUUUAAUGUUUGAUGUUCUAACGUGGACCCGUUACCCGGGUUGCGGACAGUGUCUGGUGGGUAGUUUGACUGGGGCGGUCUCCUCCUAAAGAGUAACGGAGGAGCACGAAGGUUGGCUAAUCCUGGUCGGACAUCAGGAGGUUAGUGCAAUGGCAUAAGCCAGCUUGACUGCGAGCGUGACGGCGCGAGCAGGUGCGAAAGCAGGUCAUAGUGAUCCGGUGGUUCUGAAUGGAAGGGCCAUCGCUCAACGGAUAAAAGGUACUCCGGGGAUAACAGGCUGAUACCGCCCAAGAGUUCAUAUCGACGGCGGUGUUUGGCACCUCGAUGUCGGCUCAUCACAUCCUGGGGCUGAAGUAGGUCCCAAGGGUAUGGCUGUUCGCCAUUUAAAGUGGUACGCGAGCUGGGUUUAGAACGUCGUGAGACAGUUCGGUCCCUA
rnacentral:rRNA from 1 species